rnacentral:rRNA from 1 species
UGGAGGGCAAGUCUGGUGCCAGCAGCCGCGGUAAUUCCAGCUCCAAUAGCGUAUAUUAAAGUUGUUGCAGUUAAAAAGCUCGUAGUUGAACCUUGGGUCUGGCUGGCCGGUCCGCCUCACCGCGAGUACUGGUCCGGCUGACCUUUCCUUCUGGGGAACCUCAUGGCCUUCACUGGCUGUGGGGGGAACCAGGACUUUUACUGUGAAAAAAUUAGAGUGUUCAAAGCAGGCCUUUGCUCGAAUACAUUAGCAUGGAAUAAUAGAAUAGGACGUGUGGUUCUAUUUUGUUGGUUUCUAGGACCGCCGUAAUGAUUAAUAGGGAUAGUCGGGGGCGUCAGUAUUCAGCUGUCAGAGGUGAAAUUCUUGGAUUUGCUGAAGACUAACUACUGCGAAAGCAUUCGCCAAGGAUGUUUUCAUUAAUCAGGGAACGAAAGUUAGGGGAUCGAAGACGAUCAGAUACCGUCGUAGUCUUAACCAUAAACUAUGCCGACUAGGGAUCGGACGGGAUUCUAUGAUGACCCGUUCGGCACCUUACGGGAAAC